rnacentral:rRNA from 1 species
AUGAACGCUGGCGGCGUGCCUAAUACCUGCAAGUCGAGCGAACGGACGAGAAGCUUGCUUCUCUGAUGUUAGCGGCGGACGGGUGAGUAACACGUGGAUAACCUACCUAUAAGACUGGGAUAACUUCGGGAAACCGGAGCUAAUACCGGAUGAUAUUUUGAACCGCAUGGUUCAAAAGUGAAAGACGGGCUUGCUGUCACUUAUAGAUGGAUCCGCGCUGCAUUAGCUAGUUGGUAAGGUAACGGCUUACCAAGGCAACGAUGCAUAGCCGACCUGAGAGGGUGAUCGGCCACACUGGAACUGAGACACGGUCCAGACUCCUACGGGAGGCAGCAGUAGGGAAUCUUCCGCAAUGGGCGAAAGCCUGACGGAGCAACGCCGCGUGAGUGAUGAAGGUCUUCGGAUCGUAAAACUCUGUUAUUAGGGAAGAACAUAUGUGUAAGUAACUGUGCACAUCUUGACGGUACCUAAUCAGAAAGCCACGGCUAACUACGUG